AGGGAGUACGUAUAAAAUGAAUGAGGAC
rnacentral:piRNA from 1 species